GGUACAAAGUCAUCACCAACACUUGGUGAACUAUCGGCAGACGUGGCUCAGGUCACCCCCCUCCCCCAAAGUACUUCAGAUUAGUCACUGCCUUAGGCAUCUCUGGCCUUUAAAAGCGAAUCCAUGGUUUACUAAAUUCUAUUGCAUUGUAUCAGACACAUCACUGUAGUUUACAUAGCUCAUUUAAAAUCAGCAUCCACUUGAGCUUUUUCACAGGGAGAAGCAUGGCGAGCGAUCCUGGUGAAGACAAUAGUGUAAAAACCACAGAUAUUGUUAUAGCAAAAAUAGCAAUUCUGACGUCUUUUUUCCUUUCAUAGGACUAGUCUCUUUGAAACAAGUUUCUCCACUCACCGUGUCUUGCUUCCUUGACACUGUGAUUCAUUUCUUCCUUUUCUCUUACCUGAGAAAUGUCCUCUGGACCCAGCUUGACAACCCCCUACUAUAGUUUCAAUGACACACCCUGCCCCCAAUUUCCCAUGGGCUGUGAGCUAGGAGGUCAGAACAUCACCACAUCACAUUUCUCAUGCCACUGUUUUGGUAAAUAACAAAAGUGGGGGAAGUCACACUGUGUGUCAGUCAAAAGGGAAGUAACAAAACCUAUGCUUGUAACUGCCAUUUCUUCCUCUGCAGUAAUGGCGCUGUUGGCUAUUUUGGUUUAGUAUUUCUGCCAGUAUUUGGAGUUUUGACGUUCUAUUAUGGGAGUGGCAACUACAAGGUUAAAAGGAGAAAGUGUGUAGUUUAAGACUUCAGCUCUGGGAUGUAGGGAACCAGGAAGAAUCAGCCUGAUUAGUUGGAAAAGAAAUGGUUUCAGUUAUCCACCUCUGCUCACCCCAGGUUUAUAAAAUGUUACCAUUCCACUCCCACCCCCCACCUCCCCAUUUUUAGGCACUGGUUUUAUUUGUCACGCAGCAUGAAACACAUUGUGAAAAACUGACCUCUUCCUGCCCCAAUUCAGUGCAUUUGCCAAUGUGGACUCUUCAGAGGGAGGGAGAGACAGUUCUACACCUUGUUUAUUAUUCAAAGAUGCAUUCUAGGACCUCUGAUAAUCCGGUUCCUGACCUGCUUUUAAAUUUCCCUAGCAUGGGAUCAUCUCAAAUAGUUUGUUCUAGUUAAAUAUGAAACAUCGAGACUACAAUUCACUUAUGGGUCCAGACUAUAUGUCCAUGUAGGUACGCAUAUCCUGGAGAAUGAUGGCGAAUGAUGUUAAAACACAGUGUUAUUUUUAAUGAAUCACCCUUGAUGAUAGUGACGUGUUUCUCCAUAAUACCGGGGAUUAAAGUACUCUGUUAAUUUCUGGAUGUUAGCCAGAGCCUCGUUGCAUUGUUAGUUAUAUUAGUUUCAGCUCAGAAAUCAACUUUAGAGUAUAAUAUCUAAUUCUAAGAUCAUCAUUCAAAGCCUUCCAUAGGGGGUUCUAAUUCUAUUCUAGAAAACUCUAAGCAAGCUUUCAGCUAUCUCCAAUGGCUGGACAUUUGCAGGAUUCACUGAAGAGAGAGAGCUCGGCUUACAUAACUUGAAGUUGUUUACUCAGCAGGCUGUUCUGAUUUCUUCUCAGCCUUCUCAAGACCUAUGUCUGUUUGAAACCCUACCCUCACUACCGCUUACCUUUACUCUCAGAUGAAUUACUUACACUUUCAUAAUUUUUCCCGUUGUUUUACUGCUUUUUCAUUUUGGAUUUCUGUGACCAAUUUUAUUGCUCACUAUUUCUAUUAAGAUUACUAGAUGCUAAACUUACUGAGGUCAAAAACCCAUAUAACCAUGUAAUUGUAUAUCCCCUGUGGGGUUGAUUUAUGUAUCUGGUGCUUUCUGACUGAUCAAUAUCUUCCUAUUAGGUUGGUGCCUGCUGGCAAGGGAUGACAUUGCAGAAUGUAUCCAGUGCUGAGGCCAAACCCAUAAUUUUUCCUGCUUUUCUGGUGCUGUAAAGCAAUCUCAUAACGUGAGAAGCAUUGUUUCUUGAUAGUGCAUCAUUUACAAAAAAUCAGGAUUUUCUUUUGUUUCCUCAUUCAAUCUCUUGAUUACAUUAUUUUUAUUUCUACAGUGGUCAAAGGCAACAGUUCUCCUGAAGGCCAGCUGCGAUGCAGUUGCUAGGUGUCAUUGGAGAAGAAAUCAAUUGUUCAGCUGAUAACCUUUACUAUGGGGUUAACUCCAGAGUUUAGGAAUAUUAUCUAACAAAUUAAGGGGCAGCCUGCCUUGGAGAUGUGGGUGUUUUAUAAAGUAAAAGUUAAAUUAUCAAUUCUUGGGAGAUUGUACCACGAAGAGAUUGUAGAAACUGUAAAUUAUUUUGUGCUGGGAAUGCCAAAUGUGGAAACCAACAAUAAACAAACAAGCAGGUCCCAUCCCAGUGUCUGCAGGAUUGUUUCCUGGAUUCUCCCUAUGCCUCUCUGCUCCCACCUCCUUCACCAUAUUGUCCUGGAUUUUCAAAAUUCAAACUUAAAAUGAAGGAAAAAAUCUUUCUAUUUUUCCCACUGAAGUUUUUCCAUGACAUAAAUGUUAAAUCUAUGUUCCAGGUACGUUUCCUUUUAUUUUCUCAGCUAGCUGGCCUAUAUUUAGCUGUAUAAUUAUUCAUAUUGCCUCUUUCUCCCACACUGCACCCUCGGCCAGCUUCACUGCAGUGCUGUACCCCUUUCCUUUGCCUUCCACUCUACAGUAAACACAGCAGUAAUUACUAACAUUCAAGCACAUAAUUCAAGCAGUGUUAGGCUUUGCAUUUGACGCAACUGCGCAGAACUGUCUGGAUGUGCACUAUCACGGUAAAGCAUUUAAAUAGACUCCUCCCCAUAUUUCUCCCCCACCUCCCAUCAAUGAAACAUAGUUGUUUAUUAUAUAUGAAGAUUUCAGAGUUAUAAACUCCCAUGCAGCUACAAAAAUCUGGAAUAAAUGUCCACUGGAAGCAAUUUCCAUCUACACACAAUAAUAUACUGGCAUAUACAAACAUGGAAACACAUGAUUUUCAGAAAAAGGUAAAAGAACCCAUGAAUAAAUAGCUGGAGAUAAAAUAAUUCUUUUUAAUAGACAGGGAAUUUUAGUACCUUUGGAAGACAGAUGAUUGGAGUUAUAACUAAGUAGACACAAUUCCAGACCUUUUGAAGGUCUUUAAAGGGGUUCAUGCUAACAUUUCUUUAAUGCAUUAUAUACAUCUUUACACGUGAAGCUGUUAUUCUCAUUUAACAACUGCUGAAAGCAUAUCAUCUUUUUUAGUCUUGAUACAUUCGUGACAAUUAUGGGAAUCUAAAUUGAACAGAUAUGUAUUAUCCUGACAAUUUUUGCUCAUGCAGAGUCUCCAAGCCUCGGAGAAGAAAAUACUUAUCAUGACCUCAGCAAAAUCCUUCAGUGCCAUAAUAGAAAUUACAGUGAAUCUUGGGGUCAGUUCCUGCUUCAGCCUAUGUAUAACCCUGAAGGACAUCUUUAAGUUCUCCCAAGGAUGUCAAAAUCUACAUCAAUAGAGCUGCCACAACCAGUGCUAUGAAAUUCACUAACUCCAAAACCAUGGCCAGAGAGAUUGAAAUUUCUUCGGGGCUGUAUAUGCUUGUUUCUAUCUAGUUUUCAGAAUAAAGGGAGAGCAACCAAGGGAUUUAUUUCCUAAAAUUAGUUCUUCUUAGUUCAGAUAACCCAUAUUCUUGAUAAAAAAAAAACCCAUAGGGAUGCAAUUGUCCUAUGUCUAGAUAGUACUCGCAUUAUCAUAUAAGCCCACUUGAGCCCACCUAAUAUCAACAUAUCUACCCCGUGUUAAAAACAAAAAAUUACAGUGUUCGUGUCAUAAUGGAGGCUAAGUGACCGUUUUUAAAAGUAUGCUUUCUUUUUCUGUUUUUCUGUUUUUCUGUUUGUUUUGUUUUGUUGCUUUUUUUUUCUUAACCAAGGCACAGGGAGAAAUACAGAAGGCUUCUACAAGUAGUCUGUUAUUUCUUGAAGCUACGUGGGAGGUGAGGAAGAGAGCAGGCAAUUGUCUGUAAAUAAAUCCCCGAUGACAGGAUUUAUUCUUCUGCCUUUCUUUUAAUCUAUCACGCCAGCUUUAUUAAGACUUUCUCUAAGAUCUGGAUCUCAGAGAGAAAAUUUGGCCUCCAGCCCUAGCCAGGCGGCUCUGCAGCAGGUAAUGCGGCGCUGCAGCCGGAUCGCUGUCCGCGGUGCUGAAAGGUCAGGGCGCCGACACGGGCGCCGAGCACUCCUGUCCAGGGUGCUGAGCUCCCUCCACGCACCCCAACAGCCUAGCCCACCGCGCUAACCCCCUAGAGCUUUGCCACUCUGCAGCCCCUUCCCGCCUGCAGCUGACUUGGGGCAGGCGGCAUAAAUCAAGUCUGUGGGACGUGGAGGCUGCUACCGUUGCGGCAGCUCAGCUUGCCCAGGGCGGGAACUACCCCCCUUCUCCUUUCGCCUCCCCAGCGCCCACACCCUGCCUUCUCAUCUCCCUUGGGUAGCAGUGCCCUAAACACUACAGUCAUAAUCAUAGGGUUGGAACGAACGACAAGAUCAUGUUUUGCUUUUAAAUUCUAGUCUACAGGAAAAAAAACCGCAAGCCUAAUAACCUAAACAUAUCUCAAAACUGCAUCGCAAGAUGGAAGAGGGUCCCACGGCUGCUUCAAAAGAAUUCAGUGCGAUGAGUUUCUUGUUCCUGGCUUCAUGACACGUCUUCCCUUCCUGAGGACUCCAUCUCCACAGGACUAUCCUUUGGGCUGUCCACCACAAAAGGACCAACAGACACCAAACCUGAAACCUAAAAUCAAAAACAAAAACCUGAAAGCAUACCCCCUUUCGAGAAGAAACUUGACCACAUCAAUGUUGCCGCUGGCACACGCUGUCAUGAGGGGAGUCUUGUAAGUGUUGUCCUUCAUAUCCACAGGUAUUCCUGCUUCGAAGGCCUUUUUCAGAGAGGCCAGGUCUCCUGCUUUGGUGAUAAAAUUAAUA